UACGGAGGGUGCAAGCGUUAUCCGGAUUCACUGGGUUUAAAGGGUGCGUAGGUGGGUCUGUAAGUCAGUGGUGAAAUCUCCAAGCUUAACUUGGAACUGCCGUUGAUACUAUAGAUCUUGAAUGCUGUGGAGGUGAGCGGAAUAUGUCAUGUAGCGGUGAAAUGCUUAGAUAUGACAUAGAACACCAAUUGCGAAGGCAGCUCACUACACGAAUAUGACACUGAGGCACGAAAGCGUGGGGAUCAAACAGG
rnacentral:rRNA from 1 species